AGUGAAACAGAUCAAGAUGGCUAUAUAGUCCCUGUAGGUGACCGGACAUCUCAUUCUUUCAGCGUAACAGAGACAUCGGAUGACUAUAUAACACCUAUAGGUGACCAGACAUCCAAUCCUGACAGUGAAAGAAAUCCCUCGGAUAAUUAUUUAGAAUACUCAGCGUUAAGGCAAUCAGGGAAAAG